CCCUUAGAUGUUCUGGGCCGCACGCGCGCUACACUGAUGAAUGCAACGAGCUCUACCCUUGACCGAAAGGCCCGGGUAAACUUGUGAAACUUCAUCGUGAUGGGGAUAGAUUAUUGCAAUUAUUAAUCUUCAACGAGGAAUUCCUAGUAAGCGCGAGUCAUCGGCUCGCGUUGAUUACGUCCCUGCCCUUUGUACACACCGCCCGUCGCUCCUACCGAUUGAAUGGUCCGGUGAAAUCUUCGGAUUGCUGACCAGGAUCCAGCAAUGGAGCUUGGUUGCGAGAAGUUGAUUAAACCUUAUUAUUUAGAGGAAGGAGAAGUCGUAACA
rnacentral:rRNA from 1 species